GAUGAACGCUGGCGGCGUGCCUAAUACAUGCAAGUCGAGCGAACAGACGAGGAGCUUGCUCCUCUGACGUUAGCGGCGGACGGGUGAGUAACACGUGGAUAACCUACCUAUAAGACUGGGAUAACUUCGGGAAACCGGAGCUAAUCCCGGAUAAUAUAUUGAACCGCAUGGUUCAAUAGUGAAAGACGGUUUUGCUGUUACUUAUAGAUGGAUCCGCGCCGCAUUAGCUAGUUGGUAUGGUAACGGCUUACCAAGGCAACGAUGCGUAGCCGACCUGAGAGGGGGAUCGCCCACACGGGAACUGGAACACGGUCCAGACUCCUACGGGAGGCGGCAGUAGGGAAUCUUCCGCAAUGGGCGAAAGCCUGACGGAGCAACGCCGCGGGAGUGAUGAAGGUCUUCGGAUCGUAAAACUCUGUUAUUAGGGAAGAACAAAUGUGUAAGUAACUAUGCACGUCGUGACGGUACCUAAUCAGAAAGCCACGGCUAACUACGUG
rnacentral:rRNA from 1 species